AAAGAAUUCUGUGGUUUUUUUCUUUAUUGUGAAGGAAUUUUAUUUCAUUUUCAAAGACAAAGGAGAACUUUCUUGGAUAUGUUAUUCUCGGCUGAA